rnacentral:rRNA from 1 species
UACGUAGGUGGCAAGCGUUGUCCGGAUUUACUGGGCGUAAAGAGCGCGCAGGCGGUCGUCCAAGUCGCGUGUGAAAGCCCCCGGCUCAACUGGGGAGGGUCACGCGAUACUGGUCGACUCGAAGGCAGGAGAGGGUAGUGGAAUUCCCGGUGUAGUGGUGAAAUUCGUAGAUAUUAGCUAGAACACCAGUGGCGAAGGCGGCCAACUGGUCCGACACUGACGCUGAGGUGCGAAAGCGUGGGGAGCAAACAGG